UACGAGAUCCUAGUAGCGUGAGUCAUUCAGCUCGCGUGAUACGUCCUGCCUUGUACACACCGCCGUCGCUACUACCGAUUGAAUGCUUAGUGAGACCUCGGAUUGGAUUCGGUGGCUGGAAACAGCUCGCUGUUCUCUGAAAAGUUGGUCAAACUUGGUCAUUUAGAGGAAGUAAAAGUCGUAACAAGGUUUCCGUAGGUGAACCUGCGGAAGGAUCAUUA
rnacentral:rRNA from 1 species